rnacentral:rRNA from 1 species
CUAACACAUGCAGUCGAGCGGAUGACGGGAGCUUGCUCCUUGAUUCAGCGGCGGACGGGUGAGUAAUGCCUAGGAAUCUGCCUGGUAGUGGGGGACAACGUUUCGAAAGGAACGCUAAUACCGCAUACGUCCUACGGGAGAAAGCAGGGGACCUUCGGGCCUUGCGCUAUCAGAUGAGCCUAGGUCGGAUUAGCUAGUUGGUGGGGUAAUGGCUCACCAAGGCGACGAUCCGUAACUGGUCUGAGAGGAUGAUCAGUCACACUGGAACUGAGACACGGUCCAGACUCCUACGGGAGGCAGCAGUGGGGAAUAUUGGACAAUGGGCGAAAGCCUGAUCCAGCCAUGCCGCGUGUGUGAAGAAGGUCUUCGGAUUGUAAAGCACUUUAAGUUGGGAGGAAGGGCAGUAAGUUAAUACCUUGCUGUUUUGACGUUACCGACAGAAU